rnacentral:rRNA from 1 species
GAUGAACGCUGGCGGCGUGCCCAAUACAUGCAAGUCGAGCGAAUGGAUUAAGAGCUUGCUCUUAUGAAGUUAGCGGCGGACGGGUGAGUAACACGUGGGUAACCUGCCCAUAAGACUGGAAUAACUCCGGGAAACCGGGGCUAAUACCGGAUAACAUUUUGAACCGCAUGGUUCGAAAUUGAAAGGCGGCUUCGGCUGUCACUUAUGGAUGGACCCGCGUCGCAUUAGCUAGUUGGUGAGGUAACGGCUCACCAAGGCAACGAUGCGUAGCCGACCUGGGAGGGUGAUCGGCCACACUGGGACUGAGACACGGCCCAGACUCCGACGGGAGGCAGCAGUAGGGAAUCUUCCGCAAUGGACGAAAGUCUGACGGAGCAACGCCGCGUGAGUGAUGAAGGCUUUCAGGUCGUAAAACUCUGUUGUUAGGGAAGAACAAGUGCUAGUUGAAUAAGCUGGCACCUUGACGGUACCUAACCAGAAAGCCACGGCUAACUACGUGCCAGCCGCCGCGGUAA